AAAUUGAGAGAAAAUAGAAGAGUCGUCUUCCUGAAGCUUCUUUUAGAGACCAUCAAAAAUAUAUAGACUCUGUUUGCUUGAUUUUAAACCCCCAAAUGUGAACAUCAUUCUGAGGUUAAAGCUGUCCCUGAGGAUGGAUGACAUUUGAUCUGAGUAACAGCUGUGGUACUCAGUCUACAGAAUGACCGGAUGAAAAAUACCAUGCUAAGCCAUGAGAAAUAGCUGAAGUCAUACAUACCAAACACCAUUCUGCAGUGAAACGGAGGGGUUUGGAACGACUGGAAAUACUUCCACCCCAGGAAUUUCCAGGACAUCUGGAUUCUCUCUUGACUUGACACAGCCUCUUGGCUGCCAAGCUCCAUCCAGAUCCCAGCAGCUACCUGCUUGGAUCAGUCCUGGACACGGCCCUGCUGCUGGCCUUAGGCUACCUUCUGGAAUCCUCCAGAAGUUGCAGAGGGAGGAAAGUCAACUCAGAUAAUAUCUCUGUUACGAAGCUUUCAGUGGUACCUCCCUGAGGAAGAAAGAACUGUUUCCUACGUGAGACACUUUUCCCCCCACCUCUCCUCUAUGACCUGUAGAUUUAAGUGAAAUUAAUACUGGACAGGCCAUCAAUCAUUAUCCGUGGACACUGGGAAACAGGUGAAUCAUGGUAUUAUGAAACUCGAGAAGUUGUCCAUUAACUCCAGGUACGUAGAUGAUCAAACCCUUCUCAGAUGAUAAUUAAUUAAAAUACUUAUGGAGGGUAAAUCUUUAUUCGACCUAUCUAACUUAUUUUCAGGCUGUAUAUAGAGAGAGGGUUGGGGUGGGAGAGGGAGAGAAGGGGAAUAUAAACAGUUAAAUUGUAGUUGUAUAAGAAAAAUAAAAAUAUUUUCAACUUUUCACACUUGAAAUACUCUAUCCUCAAGCAGAAUAAUUGUCUUACUUUAUUCAAAGCAAAAUGAAAUAAAAGGUCGGUACCUUAAUAUUCUAGAUCCAUAUUGUGGAUAAAUUGGCAUGUCAAAUCUUUCCAAAAUCAGGGCUAUCCUCUUUACCAGGGAAAUAACCCAAGGUAAAAUAUAUGGCUUGAUAUUUCAGAGAAAAUCUUAU